rnacentral:rRNA from 1 species
GACGAACGCUGGCGGCGUGCCUAACACAUGCAAGUCGAGCGAGUGAAUCUCCUUCGGGAGUGAAACUAGCGGCGGACGGGUGAGUAACACGUGGGCAACCUGCCCCAUAGAGGGGAACAGCCUUUCGAAAGGAAGAUUAAUACCGCAUAAGAUUGUAGCUUCGCAUGAAGUAGCAAUUAAAGGAGUAAUCCGCUAUGAGAUGGGCCCGCGGCGCAUUAGCUAGUUGGUGAGGUAACGGCUCAACAAGGCGACGAUGCGUAGCCGACCUGAGAGGGUGAUCGGCCACAUUGGGACUGAGACACGGCCCAGACUCCUACGGGAGGCAGCAGUGGGGAAUAUUGCACAAUGGGGGAAACCCUGAUGCAGCAACGCCGCGUGAGUGAUGACGGCCUUCGGGUUGUAAAGCUCUGUCUUCAGGGACGAUAAUGACGGAACCUGAGGAGGAAGCCACGGCUAACUACGUGCCAGCCGCCGCCGUAA